rnacentral:miRNA from 1 species
UAUUUUAAUUGCGUGAGUCUGAUGCAUGAUCAUCUUAAAAUAUUUAUAAAAAAAACUGCUAAGAUGCCCUGUAUUACUCUGAACAUGCUUGAUCGCCCGUAUUUUUUUAGACGUGCAUCUUAGCAGUUUUUUUUUUAAAUUUUAAGACGAUCAUGCAUCAGCCUCACGCAAUUAAAAU